rnacentral:rRNA from 2 species
AUAAGCGGAGGAAAAGAAACCAACUGGGAUUACCUUAGUAACGGCGAGUGAAGCGGUAAAAGCUCAAAUUUGAAAUCUGGUACUUUCAGUGCCCGAGUUGUAAUUUGUAGAAUUUGUCUUUGAUUAGGUCCUUGUCUAUGUUCCUUGGAACAGGACGUCAUAGAGGGUGAGAAUCCCGUUUGGCGAGGAUACCUUUUCUUUGUAAGACUUUUUCGAAGAGUCGAGUUGUUUGGGAAUGCAGCUCAAAGUGGGUGGUAAAUUCCAUCUAAAGCUAAAUAUUGGCGAGAGACCGAUAGCGAACAAGUACAGUGAUGGAAAGAUGAAAAGAACUUUGAAAAGAGAGUGAAAAAGUACGUGAAAUUGUUGAAAGGGAAGGGCAUUUGAUCAGACAUGGUGUUUUUUUAAUGUGCAAGUCUCUCGUGGACAUGUGCCUCUGGAAAUUAACACUGGGCCAACAUCAGUUCUGGCGGCAGGAUAAAUCAUUAAGAAUGUAGCUACCUCGGUAGUGUUAUAGCUUUUUGGAAUACUGCCAGCUGGGAUUGAGGACUGCGCUUCGG